AUUGUACGCNGGCGGCAUGCUUUACACAUGCAAGUCGGACGGCAGCACAGAGAAGCUUGCUUCUUGGGUGGCGAGUGGCGAACGGGUGAGUAAUAUAUCGGAACGUACCGAGUAAUGGGGGAUAACUAAUCGAAAGAUUAGCUAAUACCGCAUAUUCUCUGAGGAGGAAAGCAGGGGACCUUCGGGCCUUGCGUUAUUCGAGCGGCCGAUAUCUGAUUAGCUAGUUGGUGGGGUAAAGGCCUACCAAGGCGACGAUCAGUAGCGGGUCUGAGAGGAUGAUCCGCCACACUGGGACUGAGACACGGCCCAGACUCCUACGGGAGGCAGCAGUGGGGAAUUUUGGACAAUGGGCGCAAGCCUGAUCCAGCCAUGCCGCGUGUCUGAAGAAGGCCUUCGGGUUGUAAAGGACUUUUGUCAGGGAAGAAAAGGCUGUUGCUAAUAUCAAUAGCNGANGACG
rnacentral:rRNA from 1 species